rnacentral:rRNA from 1 species
AUUGAACGCUGGCGGCAUGCUUUACACAUGCAAGUCGAACGAGUGGCGAACGGGUGAGUAACGCAUCGGAACGUACCGAGUUACGGGGGAUAACUGGCCGAAAGCACGGCUAAUACCCUAUAUUCUUCUAGCAGCCGAUGUCUGAUUAGCUGGUUGGCGGGGUAAAGGCCCAACAAGGCGACGAUCAGUAGCGGGUCUGAGAGGAUGAUCAGCCACACUGGAACUGAGACACGGCCCAGACUCCUACGGGAGGCAGCAGUGGGGAAUUUUGGACAAUGGGCGCAAGCCUGAUGCAGCCAUGCCGCGUGUAUGAAGAAGGCCUUCGGGUUGUAAAGGACUUUUAUCAGGGAAGCGGUACCUGAAGAAGAAGCACCGGCUAACUACGUGCCAGCCGCCGCGGUAAUUC